ensembl:lncRNA
CUGGUUUUGUGGUCCAGGGUCACACAUAGGCUAUCCACUACUCAGUGUCUAGGGAACAUUGAGCAUUGCGUGAAUCAGACGCAGCGAUGGUCAGCUCUAUUGUAAAGACUGAGGUGACCAGUGUGUCUGUGUCAAGUUCACUGUUCAGCCCACUGUGUUGCGUGUCGGAGAAUCUCGCUGCGUUCAGUUGUAGUGUGGGCGUAGCUGUGCCAUUGACGCUUGAUCGUUGCUGAGGGGGAUUGCCUCGCGAGUGGGCGGGAAACUGAGACCGCGAAAAAGCAAACAGUCAAGCGCGCUCUGUAGCGGAACGUUCUCGCGCGGUUACCAUGACGCUGAGAGUGGGUAAACGCCGCUCUGUCGCGCUGGCUCUGACCUCUGGGUUGGUAUUUGUUUGAGCUUCCAUUGGACCGUCAUCAUUGUCACCUUAACCUGAUUCCUACCCUUCAGGUCUGGAAUUAACAUCUGAUGUCUCAUCCACAAGAAGAUGAUUUAGGAUCCAGAUGAACCUAAACAGGUUUGAGGGAUGGGUCAUAAACUUGGCCAGAAUCACGUCUUGGCUGCUGGUUUGGGUGGAGGUGGAAAGAAGCGCUAUACAGCCAGCCUGAAUGUACCUGACGACCUCAGAGACCAGAGUCAAACAGAAACAGACUGGGUGGCAUAUAGUCAUUACAGCGCACACAGAUCAAGGCUUUAUGGGAAGGGAAAAUUUCAGCAGGGGCCCAGAGUUUCUGCCUAUGAGUGCUUUUAAAAAUACUGAACUGCUUUUUAGAGUCAGCUUGUGUAGGUGUAUCUAUUCCUGUAUACUUCUCUCUUGGUCAUGCUUUUUAAAAGAAUUUGUAUUUUAUAGUAACCCAAAUGUAUUUCUGUGUAAUGUGCAUAUCAGUGUUUCUCUUAAUUGCUUAUAUAUUUAUUUUCACAAUGUGUAUUCAUGUCAAUUCUGGAAUUUGCACUGGCGAUCUGGUUUUGUAUUACUUUAUUGGACACUGACAUGUUAAUUAAAAUAUUUUUCCCAA